GGUGGCUCAGUGGUAAAGUGCUUGCCUCGCAUGCAUGAGGCCUGGGUUCGAUUCCUCAGCACCA
rnacentral:tRNA from 1 species